GUGGGGAAUUUUGGACAAUGGGCGCAAGCCUGAUCCAGCAAUGCCGCGUGCAGGAAGAAGGCCUUCGGGUUGUAAACUGCUUUUGUACGGAACGAAACGGUCCUGGUUAAUACCCGGGGCUAAUGACGGUACCGUAAGAAUAAGCACCGGCUAACUACGUGCCAGCAGCCGCGGUAAUACGUAGGGUGCAAGCGUUAAUCGGAAUUACUGGGCGUAAAGCGUGCGCAGGCGGUGCUGUAAGACAGGCGUGAAAUCCCCGGGCUUAACCUGGGAAUUGCGCUUGGGACUGCAGUGCUGGAGUGCGGCAGAGGGGGAUGGAAUUCCGCGUGUAGCAGUGAAAUGCGUAGAUAUGCGGAGGAACACCGAUGGCGAAGGCAAUCCCCUGGGCCUGCACUGACGCUCAUGCACGAAGGCCAGGGGAGCGAACGGGAUUAGAUACCCGGGUAGUCC
rnacentral:rRNA from 1 species